rnacentral:rRNA from 1 species
GACGUAGGAUGCAAGCGUUGUCCGGAUUUAUUGGGCGUAAAGAGUUCGUAGGCGGUUUGUUAAGUCUGGUGUUAAAGAUCGGGGCUCAACCUCGGGAGUGCACUGGAUACUGGCGAUCUUGAGUCCGGGAGAGGUGAGUGGAACUCCGAGUGUAGAGGUGAAAUUCGUAGAUAUUCGGAAGAACACCAGUGGCGAAGGCGGCUCACUGGCCCGGUACUGACGCUGAGGUGCGAAAGCGUGGGGAGCAAACAGG